UACGUAGGGGGCAAGCGUUGUCCGGAAUCAUUGGGCGUAAAGAGCGUGUAGGCGGCUUGGUAAGUCCGCUGUGAAAGUCCAGGGCUCAACCCUGGAAAGCCGGUGGAAACUGUCAAGCUUGAGUCCGGAAGAGGCGAGUGGAAUUCCUGGUGUAGCGGUGAAAUGCGCAGAUAUCAGGAGGAACACCAAUGGCGAAGGCAGCUCGCUGGGACGGUACUGACGCUGAGAGACGAAAGCUAGGGGAGCGAAUGGG
rnacentral:rRNA from 1 species